rnacentral:rRNA from 1 species
AUUGAACGCUGGCGGCAUGCCUUACACAUGCAAGUCGAACGGUAACAGAACUUCGGAUGCUGACGAGUGGCGAACGGGUGAGUAAUACAUCGGAACGUACCUAGUAGUGGGGGAUAACUACUCGAAAGAGUGGCUAAUACCGCAUGAGAUCUACGGAUGAAAGCAGGGGAUCGCAAGACCUUGUGCUACUAGAGCGGCCGAUGGCAGAUUAGGUAGUUGGUAGGAUAAAAGCUUACCAAGCCGACGAUCUGUAGCUGGUCUGAGAGGACGAUCAGCCACACUGGGACUGAGACACGGCCCAGACUCCUACGGGAGGCAGCAGUGGGGAAUUUUGGACAAUGGGCGCAAGCCUGAUCCAGCAAUGCCGCGUGCAGGAUGAAGGCCUUCGGGUUGUAAACUGCUUUUGUACGGAACGAAAAGCCCUGGGUUAAUACCCUGGGGUCAUGACGGUACCGUAAGAAUAAGCACCGGCUAACUACGUGCCAGCCACCGCCGUAAAAC